AUACGUAGGGUGCGAGCGUUGUCCGGAUUGAUUGGGCGUAAAGGGCGCGUAGGUGGCUUUGCAAGUCAGUAGUGGAAGUCCAUUUUUCAAGGAUGGAAGUGCUACAGAAACUGCGGAGCUUGAGUGCAGGAGAGGUUAUCGGAAUUCCCGGUGUAGCGGUGAAAUGCGUAGAGAUCGGGAGGAACACCAGUGGCGAAGGCGGGUAACUGGACUGCAACUGACGCUGAGGCGCGAAAGUGUGGGGAGCAAACAGGAUUAGAUACCCUGGUAGUCCACACCGUAAACGAUGAAUGCUAGGUGUAGGAGGUAUCGACCCCUUCUGUGCCGCAGUAAACACAGUAAGCAUUCCGCCUGGGGAGUACGGUCGCAAGAAUGAAACUCAAAUGAAUUGACGGGG
rnacentral:rRNA from 1 species